UGUUCCUACGGGGGGCAGCAGUGAGGAAUAUUGGUCAAUGGGCGAGAGCCUGAACCAGCCAAGUCGCGUGAGGGAGUACUGCCCUAUGGGUUGUAAACCUCUUUUGUCGGGGAGCAAAAGCCGGACGUGUCCGUCUGUGAGAGUACCCGAAGAAAAAGCAUCGGCUAACUCCGUGCCAGCAGCCGCGGUAAUACGGAGGAUGCGAGCGUUAUCCGGAUUUAUUGGGUUUAAAGGGUGCGCAGGCGGAAGAUCAAGUCAGCGGUAAAAUUGAGAGGCUCAACCUCUUCGAGCCGUUGAAACUGGUU
rnacentral:rRNA from 1 species